AUACAUUAACGCCAAACCUGAUGUGAGUCAGGGACGGAAAGCCUACAGCUGUUUACUUUAGUCACUACAGGGCUGGGUUGCAAAA
rnacentral:ncRNA from 1 species